CAUCCGUCUUCUUCCUCGGGGCGGCUAUCGACGUCGACACAUCGCCGCCGGAACCCUAGAUAGCUAUCGAGUGAGGGAGAGAGAGGGCGGCGUCGAGAUGACCGGCCUCCAUGACAAGCGCAAGGCUGAGGAGUCCCCCCUGAAAGGAGCCCGAGUAUGCUCCAUCAAGGCAGACCCCAACAUGUGCUCAGCUGGGUUUGGAACACUACAACAGCAUUAAUCAGGUCUGUAAUACUCGAAUAACCAAAUAGCAGAUUGAGAACAUUUAUGGAACACAUUGCAUUCUUCUAUUUAUCACAUAUCUAAUUUUCUCAAUAAAGUUGCAGUCAAUCCCUAGUAGUAAUACAUGGAAUAUUUAUACUCACUGUGCAAUGUUAGCAGCUGAAAAGGACAUAACACAUAACUGGUUGUCAAAUUAUUACAGUAGACGGGGUUACAGUACAUGUCAGUAUAGUUGCUUUUGAGCAAUGGCUCACUUGAGUUGCUUGCAAAUCGGUCAGGGGGAUGAGCAUGAGCUAGUUAAAGCUGUGGAAAGUAACGCCUUUAUCUUCAAUGGCGUGUGGAUUCAUGCAAAUUUCCUUGCUAAGCCGAUAGGUGCUACCAGCUUUGACGAUCUUGCUCCUAAUUACUUCUUUUCUGAACUGAAAAGUGAUUAUGAGGGAUUCUCUUGUAUCUCAUGUGUCAAGAUGGAUCCAGGAGUACCCAAAAAGCUUGGUGGUUGUGGAGUGUGUCCUCGGCAAAUUAUCCAUCCGGCUGAUGGUGGAUAUCGGAAUGCGCAACCUUUUAAGGCUAUCCGCACUGCGGAUCGCCAAAAGUCCCUGAACGACAAAUACAGAGGUUGGAGUCUCACACUGCAAGACUGCAAAAUAAUCCCUGACGAGGCGAACGCUAUCGAGAGCGGGCGCAGACUCGCGCCAUCCUGAAGAAAGGAGGAGGCACGAGAGGAGGACGCCACGCCUGGAGGAGGAGGACGCCGCGUCGGGCCCCAUGCCGGGAGGAGGAGGACGGCAGGACGCUGCGCCGGGAGGAGGCCGCCAGGAGGAGGAGGACACCGUGCCGGGCCCCCGCGCUGGGAGGAGGCCGCCGGGCCGCCACGCCGGGGAGGAGGGGGCUGCGGCCGCCGGCGGGGAGGAGGAGGCCCGUUGGGCCGCCGCGCCGAGGAAGAGGGGGCCUGCGGCCGCUGGUGAGGAGAAGGUAGCCGGCGCGGAGGAGGUAGCCGCGGGAGGGAGCCGUGGGGAGGGAGGAGAGAGGGGCAACGGGGACCGACGGUUGGUUUGGGGAGCAGUUUAGAAGCAGGGCGGUGGCGGAGAGCGAGGAGGCCAUGCCUCUGUAGGCGGCUCUACCAGGUGGGCCCAGCACCUUUAGAGGUGCCGUUCCAGGCGGCGCGGUGCAGUUAGCCUAAUGACUCGGUUACCGCUAAAAGUGGUGUUUUCACUUUCUAAGUUGUGAAAGAAUCGUACCUGAGAGCACGUACUGAUCCGGAGGGAGAAAGCACUCACUGGAACCGAAAUCACCUCUCCGCACCUGCCGGAUUGCUGCCCGUUGUCUACAAAAGUGCCACCGCCGCCGCCGACGACGAACAGAAGCGAGCAAGAGGGCCGACCGGAGUUGGGAGGAGGGGAUUGAGCAGCUGACAAGAAAAGGCGAGGAGAGAGGUUCCGGCGGCGCCCUCUUCUCGCAGUUUCACAGAGCCCUGCAAAAGAGGAGGAAGUACACACUUUAUUGUUUAUUACUUUUCUUCACUUCUCUUCUUGUCCUCGGGACCCUUUUUUUUUUCACGUCCUGCUUGGGCGAGCUUUAGCAAAACACCACAGAAAACUUAAGUACUUGAUGAA